rnacentral:rRNA from 1 species
UACGUAGGGGGCGAGCGUUGUCCGGAAUUACUGGGCGUAAAGGGCGCGUAGGCGGCCCGCUAAGUCCGCUGUGAAAGCCCUGGGCUCAACCUGGGAAUUGCAGUGGAUACUGGCAAGCUAGAGUGCGGUAGAGGAUGGUGGAAUUCCCGGUGUAGCGGUGAAAUGCGUAGAGAUCGGGAGGAACAUCAGUGGCGAAGGCGGCCCUCUGGUCCAGUACUGACACUCAAGUGCGAAAGCGUGGGGAGCAAACAGG